AGUGAACGCUGGCGGUAGGCCUAACACAUGCAAGUCGAACGGCAGCACAGUAAGAGCUUGCUCUUACGGGUGGCGAGUGGCGGACGGGUGAGGAAUACAUCGGAAUCUACUUUUUCGUGGGGGAUAACGUAGGGAAACUUACGCUAAUACCGCAUACGACCUACGGGUGAAAGCAGGGGAUCUUCGGACCUUGCGCGACUGAAUGAGCUGAUGUCGGAUUAGCUAGUUGGCGGGGUAAAGGCCCACCAAGGCGACGAUCCGUAGCUGGUCUGAGAGGAUGAUCAGCCACACUGGAACUGAGACACGGUCCAGACUCCUACGGGAGGCAGCAGUGGGGAAUAUUGGACAAUGGGCGCAAGCCUGAUCCAGCCAUACCGCGUGGGUGAAGAAGGCCUUCGGGUUGUAAAGCCCUUUUGUUGGGAAAGAAAAGCAGCAGGUUAAUACCCCGCUGUUCUGACGGUACCCAAAGAAUAAGCACCGGCUAACUUCGUG
rnacentral:rRNA from 1 species